GCUAUCGUUAUUAUUUUUCAGUGGAAUUAAGUGCAAAAUGUCAAUGAGACACGCUGCGUUCGAGCGUGUCGCGAAUCUGUGCGAUCGAUCCGAUACUGUAUAAUUACGAUUGCGUUAAUUAAUUACACGACAGUUGGAAGUCGGGGAUCUAAUUUAAAGGUCGACAACCUCUAUAUUUAUAAAUAACUGGGCCAAUUAAACAUUGAAAAGAGGUAAUGAAGAAAACACAAUUGAUCUUGAAACUGAUGGGCAGGUUUGGAUUGGAUAG